GGAGGGGUGGCAGAGCGGCCGAUUGCACCGGUCUUGAAAACCGGAGUCUCUUCGGGGACCAAGGGUUCGAAUCCCUUCCCCUCCG
rnacentral:tRNA from 1 species